rnacentral:lncRNA from 1 species
CAGCAGUACAGAAAUCUCUGCGUAGCUUGAAUUGGCUAUAACUCUCUUGUGAAAUUCAAAUAUUUUAACAGAGGUAGAUGACUGAACUUGACUCUGAAAAGUGACACUAAACUAACAUCAUGUACUACCAAUGUAUUUUAUGAGAGCAUUAUAUUUAGUACAAUGUAAAUAAGAUUUCUCAAAAUACUACCGAUCUAAAUGUGUGUAUAGAGAUCCAAAAAUCAUAAUGCCAACUAAAUAAUAAGACCCACAGAGAACUAUAUGCUAACAUGCACAUGAACUGCAUUAUCAACCAGAAUAAAAUAUCCACAUAAUUAAUUCGAGGAAAUUUGGAACAAGAAAACAUAAUGGAUCCAAUGUAUGUACAGAGAUCCAAAAAAUAGACCAUGCUAGGUUGUUGGAUGUUAGGAGGAACUAAUUUGGAAGUGAUCCAAUUUCUAUCCCAACCCAAACACAGGUUAUGAGCUUACAUAUUGGUUUAUCCUAACCAUGGACAGCUUAGAACAUCUAAGCUUGGAGGACAGAAAUAACAGUUACUUGUGUGCCUGUUAUGCCUUCUCAGUUUAGGAGCUUGGCACCAAAUAGAACUUCAAACUCCCUGCUAAAACCCCACAGUUCAAUCGCCUUAUCAAUAAGUGACUGUAACUUCAUGAUUUGUAUGACAACAGGACUACAUUACUUAUUGCCAAUCAAAUGUAGAAAGUAGAAACAGUACAGGGUUAGCAUAUGACCCAUAUUUGAAUCUAGUUGCAAGCAAUACUUCUACAGGUCGUCCAUCUACAGCAGCUACUGCACCUGGUAAAGGCUUUGGUAUGAAAUUAGGCAAGACACAGAAGACAAAUCAAUUCUUCUACGACUCUUUUCCCCCAUUGAAAGACCAUUAUUUUAUAUUAGUAUGUAAUUAGGGUUUACCAUAAAUCAUGUAGUCCAUAGAACUAUAAUGAAAAGAGAUGCAAUAGAUGCUGAACAUUAGAGUUGCAGUGAAAGAAGGUGUUGAUUUCAGUGGUUACCUGAACUCCACUGGACCUGGCAGCACGUUGAGAGGCUUUGCAGUCGUCCUCGCUCUCCGUCACGCGCGUAGUCCUCGUCUUCCUUGGAGUCGUGGUAGGGAUAUCCUG